rnacentral:rRNA from 1 species
AGGUCGAGCGGUAACAGGCGUAGCAAUACGUGCUGACGAGCGGCGAACGGGUGAGCAAUGCUUCGGAAUCUGCCCAGUGAUGGGGAAUAACCAGUCGAAAGAUCGGCUAAUACCGCAUACGCCCUUCGGGGGAAAGCGGGGGAUCGCAAGACCUCGCGUCGAUGGAUGAGCCGAAGUCGGGUUAGCUAGUUGGUAGGGUAACGGCCUACCAAGGCGACGAUCCGUAGCUGGUCUGAGAGGACGACCAGCCACACUGGGACUGAGACACGGCCCAGACUCCUACGGGAGGCAGCAGUGGGGAAUAUUGGACAAUGGGGGCAACCCUGAUCCAGCGACGCCGCGUGUGUGAAGAAGGCCUGCGGGUUGUAAAGCACUUUUAGUGGGGAUGAAAAGCACACUCUUAAUACUGGUGUGUCUUGACCUAACCCAAAGAAAAAGCACCGGCUAACUCUGUGCCAGCAGCCGCGGUAAUACAGGGGGUGCGAGCGUUAAUCGGAAUUACUGGGCGUAAAGCGUGCGUAGACGGUUAUUUAAGUCGGGUGUGAAAGCCCCGGGCUCAACCUGGGAAUUGCAUUCGAGACUGAAUAGCUAGGGUGCGGUAGAGGGAAGCGGAAUUUCCGGUGUAGCGGUGAAAUGCGUAGAUAUCGGAAGGAACAUCAGUGGCGA